CUCCUCUCUUUUCUGGACCCUGGAUACAUUGUGUAUGGUGACAUUUGGGUGGGUCAACACUGAAGUGAUCUGACUCUUUUGAAUGGCCUCUUCCCACAGAAGUGUUAUUGCAUAAAUUUUCUUUCAUCACCUAGAUUGAAUUGUUAAUCUAAUCCCUUGAUCUUUCUGCAAGUGUGAUUGUGAAAUAUGCCUCUCCCCAGCACCUGAGUGAUUCGACUCUCCUGCCUUGGCCCAGUUCACAGACAGUAUUAUGACAUAUUGCUGAACCCAGCACCUGGGAGAUGUGACUUUAUUUUCCUGCCUUGGUAUUGCCCACAUUUCUGUCCACAGGAGAGAUUUUGCCGUAUUGCUGGGCUGAACACAAAGGUGAUGUAAGUUUUCUGCCUUGGCCCUACCAAAGGAAAGCAUUGGGACAUAUUGUGGACCCAGAACCAAGGUGCUGUGAGUCUCCUUCGUGGAUCCUGGCUGCAGGAAGCACUGUGACGUAUCUCUACACCCAUCGACUAUUUGAUGGAGUGCUCUUCUCUUGCCUGGGCUUUUCCCACUGGAGAUAUUGUGACAUAUCUCUGGGCCCAUGAUCUAGAUUACAUGACACUCCUUUUCUUCCUGGGACCUGUCCACAGUGAAGAUUGUGACAUAUUGGUAGACCCAGCACCUACAUGAGGUAACUUUCUUCUCAUACUGGGGUUAUGCCCACUGUGGUGAUUGUGACAUAUAACUGGGCCCAAACCCUUGGUUUUGUGACUCUCCUUUUUUUUUUUUUCUGAGCCCUACACAAAUAAAAAAUUAGAACACA